AUAGAAAUCACCUAGGGACCCUGUUAGAUUGUAGGUUCUUAUUCAGUAGGUAUGCAGUGGAACAUGAGUUUCUACAUUUUUAACAGGAUCCCAGGUGAUUCUGAU
rnacentral:pre_miRNA from 1 species